rnacentral:rRNA from 1 species
CGGACGGGUGAGUAAUGUCUGGGAAACUGCCUGAUGGAGGGGGAUAACUACUGGAAACGGUAGCUAAUACCGCAUAACGUCGCAAGACCAAAGAGGGGGACCUUAGGGCCUCUUGCCAUCGGAUGUGCCCAGAUGGGAUUAGCUAGUAGGUGGGGUAAUGGCUCACCCAGGCGACGAUCCCUAGCUGGUCUGAGAGGAUGACCAGCCACACUGGAACUGAGACACGGUCCAG